rnacentral:rRNA from 1 species
UACAGAGGGUGCAAGCGUUAAUCGGAUUUACUGGGCGUAAAGCGUGCGUAGGCGGUUCAGUAUGUCGGUCGUGAAAUCCCCGGGCUUAACCUGGGAACUGCGGCCGAAACUGCUGGGCUUGAGUGUGGUAGAGGAAGGUGGAAUUCCAGGUGUAGCGGUGAAAUGCGUAGAUAUCUGGAGGAACACCGAUGGCGAAGGCAGCCUUCUGGGCCACAACUGAUGCUGAGGUACGAAAGCCAGGGGAGCAAACGGG